UGCCCACUGACCUUAGUUGAAGGGCUGCAGUAUUUUGACUGUACAAAGGUAGCAUAAUCAUUAGUCUUUUGAUUGAGGACUGGAAUGAAAGGCUUGACAUGGUUACACUGUCUCAGUAAUAGAAAAUUAAUUUUACAUCCUUGUGAAAAGGCAAGGAUAGCUUAUAGGGACGAGAAGACCCUAUAAAACUUAACUUUAAUUAAUGUGUUAUUUAGACAAUUAAUAUGAUAUGUUUAUUAAGGAUUUGCUGGGGCGGUAUUUAUUUUACAUAAAUUUGAUGAAAUAAUGGUUGUUAGCUUAAUAGAUGAUCCGAUAUUUUAGGUUGAUAAAAAGAAAGAGUUACUUUAGGGAUAACAGCGUAAUGGUUCCUGAGAGUUCUUAUUGACGGGGCUGUUUGCGACCUCGAUGUUGGAUUAGGGAGUCUUCUUGGCGCAGCUGUUAAGAAAGAUAGUCUGUUCGACUAUUAAAUCCCUACAUGAUCUGAGUUAAAAACCGGAGA
rnacentral:rRNA from 1 species